GGGUGAUUAGCUCAGUUGGGAGAGCAUCGCCCUUACAAGGCGAGGGUCACUGGUUCGAGCCCAGUAUCACCCACCA
rnacentral:tRNA from 14 species